CAUAAAGCUCGGCUCCCUCAAGGGUGGUCUGGCUCACUCCCUUAUGAAAGGGGGUGACGCCUAUGAUGUCGACGUUUCAAAGUUUAUUGUUCAUGUUCGGGAUGUUUAUCCUGGCAUUGUUGACAUACAUUAAAAAGAAGUAGACCUCCCUUGAGCCUGAGAAACUUUUAGGGAGGUCCAUAUAUUCACCUUCGGAGCCAGCCCCUUGUCGGGCCAGCUAUGUGUACA
rnacentral:sRNA from 1 species